rnacentral:RNase_P_RNA from 1 species
CGAGUCGGCCAGGCAAUCGCUCACGUGUACGCACGCGGGAGGAAAGUCCGGGCUCCGGCGGGCAGGGUGCCAGGUAACGCCUGGGAGGCGCGAGCCUACGGAAAGUGCCACAGAAAAUAACCGCCUACGGACCUUCGGGUCCCGGCAAGGGUGAAAAGGUGCGGUAAGAGCGCACCGCGCGGGUGGCAACACGCCGCGGCACAGGUAAACCCCACCCGGAGCAAGACCAAAUAGGGAAGCAGCCUUCCGCAAGGAGGGCACCGUCGCCCCGCGGGCUUCCGGGUAGGUCGCUUGAGGCUGCUGGUGACAGCAGUCCCAGAGGAAUGAUUGCCCACGACAGAACCCGGCUUAUCGGCCGACUCGCUCU